ACCCUCUUUAUUCUUUAUUUACUACUUGUUUUGAGUUCUAUGGGCGAUUAAUUGAAUUCUUGGAGUAAGGGUAAAAUUGUUGAUAGUGGAAGACGUUCAAAGGCGAAAGCGAUGAUCGACGUAGAUCUGACACUAGGUACUAAAGUAUGGGUAUAAAGAGGAUUAGAGACCUCGUAGUCCAUACCUUAAACCAUGAGUGUUAACGUCCUUUGAUAAGCAUGUAGGAAUUCAUGCAGGAAUCUAAGGGGGUUUGAAGUUAACGCGCGAAACACUA
rnacentral:rRNA from 1 species